UACGUAGGGUCCAAGCGUUGUCCGGAUUUAUUGGGCGUAAAGGGCGCGUAGGCGGCCACCGCAAGUCGGUUGUGAAAUCUCCGGGCUUAACCCGGAAAGGUCAAUCGAUACUGCGGGGCUAGAGUGCAGAAGGGGCAACUGGAAUUCUCGGUGUAGCGGUGAAAUGCGUAGAUAUCGAGAGGAACACCAACGGCGAAAGCACUCUGCUGGGCCGACACUGACACUGAGAGACGAAAGCUAGGGGAGCGAAUGGG
rnacentral:rRNA from 1 species